GCUGGGCCCGCUGUCAGACCUUCCCCUUCUGUGGGAAUCGUUUUGUUUUCGUGCUGCGAGUGGGUUGAGAAGGGGAAAGGGCGCUUGCUUUAUAUUCGUUCUCGGCUCCGAUCUCCGUCCAUCCAGUCGUCUUGGGGCAGCCAAGAGGUAGAGUGCGCGUGGAUCUUUCCGUGGAAGGGAUGAAGAUUACGGCGCUCCUGGUGCUGAAGCCGUCGACCUCCGGAGCCGGGAGCUCCUCGUCCGGCGGCGAGUCGGGCCCGGAGGCGGUGGUGCUCGCGAACGCGACGGACGUCAGCCACUUCGGCUACUUCCAGCGCAGCGCCGCCCGCGAAUUCAUCGUCUUCGUUGCCCGCACCGUCGCUCAGCGCACCCAGCCAGGCCAGCGGCAGUCCGUCCAGCACGAAGAAUACAAGGUCCACUCCCACAACAGAAAUGGGCUUUGUGCGGUGGCAUUCAUGGAUGAUCACUAUCCUGUACGAAGUGCAUUUUCUCUCCUGAAUAAGGUUCUUGAUGAGUACCAGAAGGCUUUUGGGGACUCCUGGAAAUCUGCUACUGCAGAUGGAACUCAAGAGUGGGCUUUCCUGACAGAUGCCUUGACAAAAUUUCAGGACCCUGCGGAAGCUGACAAAUUAAUGAAAAUCCAGAGGGACUUGGAUGAAACAAAAAUUAUACUUCAUAAAACUAUUGAGAGUGUCCUUGCCAGAGGAGAGAGAUUGGAUAGCUUGGUUGAGAAAAGCUCUGAUCUAAGUGCUGCUUCACAGAUGUUCUACAAGCAGGCAAAGAAGACAAACUCAUGCUGCACAAUACUUUAAACUUUGGCGCUUCCAUAUCAUGGUUGCAAGGUGGUUAAUGCUGUUUUUGAGAAAAAAACGGUCGAUAUUGUGCUAAUUUAUUGUAAGUUAAGUCGCCCAUGAAGCGUGGAUACGUGGUUGCAAGGCUCGAGCUCAGUGCUAUUGGUCUCAGUUUGGAAGGCUGUAGUUUUCUCCAAGACCUACCAGAAUUGUACCGUUUUCUUACGAGAAUUCCAGCUCUCCCAACAGGCCAGGGACUUUCAUCAUUCUUUAGUGAUGAAACCUUGUAGCACCCACUAACACCAUUCAUUGUACUAUAUAAGGCUUGCCUCAAACUGCAGAAGUUAUCAGUACUGUUAAA